AGUGAACGCUGGCGGUAGGCCUAACACAUGCAAGUCGAACGGCAACACAGUAAGAGCUUGCUCUUACGUGUGGCGAGUGGCGGGCGGGUGAGGAAUACGUCAGAAUCUCCUUUUUCGUGGGGGAUAAAGUGGGGACAGUUACGAUAAUAGCGCAUCCGACCUACGGGAGAGAGCAGGGGCUCUUCGGACCUUGCCCUCUUGAGUGAGCCGAUGUGGGAUUAGCUAGUUGGCGGGGUAAGGGCCCACCAAGGCGACGAUCCGUAGCUGGUCUGAGAGGAUGACCAGCCACACUGGAACUGAGACACGGUCCAGACUCCUACGGGAGGCAGCAGUGGGGAAUAUUGGACAAUGGGCGCAAGCCUGAUGCAGCCAUACCGCGUGGGUGAAGAAGGCCUUCGGGUUGUAAAGCCCUUUUGUCGGGAAAGAAAAGCAGCAGGUUAAUACCUCGAUGUUCUGACGGUACCCAAAGAAGAAGCACCGGCUAACUUCGUG
rnacentral:rRNA from 1 species